rnacentral:tRNA from 1 species
UCCCCACAUGCGUGGGGAUGAACCGACCUUCACCGUCGGCGAGUUCGUCGUGAUCGGGUGUUCCCCACAUCCGUGGGGAU